AACGAACGCUGGCGGCAUGCCUAACACAUGCAAGUCGAACGAGACCUUCGGGUCUAGUGGCGCACGGGUGCGUAACGCGUGGGAACCUGCCCUUAGGUUCGGAAUAACUCCCCGAAAGGGGUGCUAAUACCGGAUAAUGUCUUCGGACCAAAGAUUUAUCGCCUUUGGAUGGGCCCGCGUUGGAUUAGCUAGUUGGUAGGGUAAAAGCCUACCAAGGCGACGAUCCAUAGCUGUCUGAGAGGAUGAUCAGACACACUGGGACUGAGACACGGCCCAGACUCCUACGGGAAGCAGCAGUGGGGAAUAUUGGACAAUGGGCGAAAGCCUGAUCCAGCAAUGCCGCGUGAGUGAUGAAGGCCUUAGGGUUGUAAAGCUCUUUUACCCGGGAUGAUAAUGACAGUACCGGGAGAAUAAGCUCCGGCUAACUCCGUG
rnacentral:rRNA from 1 species